GACGAACCGUGCGAACGUUGUUCGGAAUCACUGGGCUUAAAGGGCGCGUAGGCGGGCGAUCAAGUCAGAGGUGAAAUCCCACGGCUCAACCGUGGAAGUGCCCCUGAUACUGAUUGUCUCGAGGGAGGUAGGGGCGUGCGGAACUUCCGGUGGAGCGGUGAAGUGCGUAGAUAUCGGAAGGAACACCGAUGGCGAAAGCAGCGCGCUGGACCUUUACUGACGCUGAGGCGCGAAAGCCAGGGGAGCAAACGGG
rnacentral:rRNA from 1 species